AGCGAACGCUGGCGGCAGGCCUAACACAUGCAAGUCGAACGGACCCUUCGGGAUUAGUGGCGGACGGGUGAGUAACACGUGGGAACGUGCCUUUAGGUUCGGAAUAGCUCCUGGAAACGGGUGGUAAUGCCGAAUGUGCCCCUCGGGGGAAAGAUUGAUCGCCUUUAGAGCGGCCCGCGUCUGAUUAGCUAGUUGGUGAGGUAACGGCGCACCAAGGCGACGAUCAGUAGCUGGUCUGAGAGGAUGACCAGCCACACUGGGACUGAGACACGGCCCAGACUCCUACGGGAAGCAGCAGUGGGGAAUCUUGCGCAAUGGGCGAAAGCCUGACGCAGCCAUGCCGCGUGAAUGAUGAAGGUCUUAGGAUUGUAAAAUUCUUUCACCGGGGACGAUAAUGACGGUACCCGGAGAAGAAGCCCCGGCUAACUUCGUG
rnacentral:rRNA from 1 species